UACGUAGGGUGCGAGCGUUAAUCGGAAUUACUGGGCGUAAAGCGUGCGCAGGCGGUUGUGCAAGACAGAUGUGAAAUCCCCGGGCUUAACCUGGGAAUUGCAUUUGUGACUGCACGGCUAGAGUGUGUCAGAGGGGGGUAGAAUUCCACGUGUAGCAGUGAAAUGCGUAGAUAUGCGGAGGAAUACCGAUGGCGAAGGCAGCCCCCUGGGAUAACACUGACGCUCAUGCACGAAAGCGUGGGGAGCAAACAGG
rnacentral:rRNA from 1 species